rnacentral:rRNA from 1 species
UAGAGUUAGCUUGCUAACUUGAGACCGGCGCACGGGUGCGUAACGCGUAUGCAAUCUACCUUGUACAGGGGGAUAGCCCAGAGAAAUUUGGAUUAAUACCCCAUGGUGUUAUGUUGUGGCAUCACAUUAUAACUAAAGUUCCAACGGUACAAGAUGAGCAUGCGUCCCAUUAGCUAGUUGGUACAAGUAACGGCAUACCAAGGCAAUGAUGGGUAGGGGUCCUGAGAGGGAGAUCCCCCACACUGGUACUGAGACACGGACCAGACUCCUACGGGAGGCAGCAGUGAGGAAUAUUGGUCAAUGGGCGCAAGCCUGAACCAGCCAUGCCGCGUGCAGGAUGACGGUCCUAUGGAUUGUAAACUGCUUUUAUACGGGAAGAAACAC